AGUGGAAUGCAACAGCUGUUUGACAGGAACAUUGUUCCACCCGGGUGCCAUCUCCUUGGACAUAAAGGCUACCCACAACGACGCUGGCUUCUCACACCAUUCCCAAGACCACAACCAGGGGCCCAACAAAAUUACAACAGGGCUCACCGAUGCACCCGAAGUAUUGUGGAGAGGGGCAUCGACCAAUGGAAACGCCGGUUCCAUGUCCUUCACGGGGAAAUCCGCCAAACACCACAAAAGGCUAGCAAUAUUAUAAUGGCAUGUGCAAAAUGCGCAACAUUCGUCUCCCCCCUGAUGAGGGAGAUCAUAAUGAUGAUGAUGAUGACAACCACCCUCCUAACAUCCCAUUUGCCUCUGAUGCCAUUGUGUUUAGGCAGAACUUUGCCAACCUUCCUUUUGGUGCAUCCAUGUCCUCCACCUCGUCCGGGUUGAGCCGUGGAGUGGCAGUGGCCAGUGGGGGCUCAGGGAGCCGGGGCUCUGGGCCUGCUGCUGGAGAGGGAAUGCCAGAUGGUCCUGGAAGCUCCACAGGCAGCUCAUGAGGGGACGAGAUGGUGUUUUCAUCUACAUUACUGAAAAACAGAAUUCAUUUUGUUAAUUUAGUUUAUUCUUGUGUAUAUGCAUUUGUAUCAAUAAAAUAAGUAUUGAGUAUUGA